rnacentral:tRNA from 1 species
CCCUCAGUAGCUCAGUGGAAGAGCAUCCGCUUUCUAAACGGCCGGCCGCAGGUUCGAAUCCUGCCUGGGGGAC